GAAAUGCGAUAAGUAAUGUGAAUUGCAGAAUUCAGUGAAUCAUCGAAUCUUUGAACGCACAUUGCGCCCGCCAGUAUUCUGGCGGGCAUGCCUGUUCGAGCGUCAUUUCAACCAUCAAGCCCCCGGGCUUGUGUUGGGGACCUGCGGCUGCCGCAGGCCCCAAAAACCAGUGGCGGGCUCGCUGUCACACCGGGCGUAGUAGAUUUUUCGUCUCGCCCAGGGCGUGCUGCGGGUUCCGGCCGUUAAAAAGCCUCUCUUUUAACCCAAGGUUGACCUCGGAUCAGGUAGGAAGACCCGCUGAACUUAAGC
rnacentral:misc_RNA from 1 species